GAACUUCCCACUGAGCCCUCAGCUUUGCCAGGGGAGGUGGGGAAGGAGCUCUCGCCGGAACUGGUGAUGGAGAAGGAUGAGACCGCAGAUCCCAGACCACCAGCUGCUGGGACGCUGAACAGAAGAGUCGUGUUCUCCAGAGGACCCCGGGGAGGCGUCACCUCACCUAGCAGAGGCCCAGGUACCUGGACGCUGAGAGGCAGGUAUGUGGUCAGGACUGUCCACAAGGUUCUCUCAACACUCUUACCUUGGACUUUGCAAGUGGGCGCUGGACAGUGAGAAAGGCCGUUCUGCACGGACACAGCUGGACGAGAGUGGGGUAGCUGGUCAUCAAGAUGCCCCUACAAUCCCUCCCUUCCCGGUACACACGCGGCCCCCAUAUCAAGAGACGGAGCUAAUUUCCCGGUCCUUGAAUUCCCCCAGCCCCUGGGACGGGCUCUGACCUAAAGGAUGCAGCAGAAACGAAGUUCUGAGGCUGCCAAGCCCAGGCCUUUCUACUUCCUGCUUCUUCGAGCCUGGCUGCCAUACUGGGAGGCCGUCCAAGCAGCCACGAGGAGAGGCCACACAGAGGAGAACCAGGGACCCCAGCCAACAGCCCCGCUGACCUCGUGGCCACCAGCCAGCCCCGACCUGCAGCCAUGUGAGUGAGGCCAUUUUGGACCUUCCAAACACCCCUGAACCCCAGGGGCUCCAGAGAGAGCAGACCCCAAAUUGACACACAGAACUGUGAAGGACAAGAAAUGGUCGGUUUUUAUUCUAAGUCACUGAGCAAAUAGCUAAAUGAAACAGAAACCGAUACGGCAAGGCUCUUACAAAAUGUAACAUGAUGUAGGAUUUCCGGUUUUGCUCAUUAGGCCUGUGUAUACUGGGCAUUAGCCCAGGUUCCAGAAAUAAUUCAAGCAGAGUCAAGAUUUGGGCACUGACAGGCUAACCCCCCUUGCUUUUAAACCAGUGGUUCUUCCGUUGAGUCUGAGCCAUGUUCAUAGAACUCACAUCUGGAAAGGACCCGGUGGUCCUGGGCCCCCUCCCUGGAGGGCGGCGGCCGGUUUCUCAGACCUGUGUUCAGCUCAGAGCACGUUGCUUCCCGGUCUCCCCUGGGAAGACCCUCAAUCCUCAGGCAGGUCGAGGGCGGGCACCUGGUGUUGACCUGAGUCUUGGAGGUUCGGGACGUGCUCUCUUUCCUGGGGAACACCCACUUAACCCCCUACACCCCCGGCAGUGGGCGGGAGCUGGGCCUUCCUUGCUGGCCCUGGUCUGGGGGAGGAUGGUCUCCUCUCUGGUGGGUCCUGUUCCCUUUGCAGUUUCCAGGAGUCGUACGAGCCUCACAGUGGGACGGACGCCAGGCUGGAGCCCUGGCAUUCACACAAAAAGACUUUCAUCUCUCGAUUCUGGGCAUCAGACUGUCCGAGGGGCUCUAUUUUCUGCAGAAGGUGCUUGCUGACUGUGGACUUGCCUGUCUGCUGAAGACCUUCUCAAAGCCGGGUUCCCUUCCCCGGCAGCCGCCCACCCCUCAGCUGUGUGACCAGGCGAACAUCCCUUUGAUCCGUGAAGGCGAGAAAGGAAGCAGGGCAGGCCUUGCGGGGGGGCGGAUCCCACACGCGGGUGCAAACGGAGAACCAUCUGGCAUCCGUCUGCUUGCCUCCCCCGUGAUGGGUUCUUCCGGCUUAACCCUCUUCCCACCCGUCCUCUCGGAGCUAGACGCCGGCUCCCCUUCCGCCCGGUGUUCCUGGGCGCUCGGGCCUCUCCCGAGGGGGCUGGGCGGCCUGCCUUCUGUCCACCUGCGCUUCUGCCCCGAGGCCGCAAUGGGAAUGGGUGGUGACGGCGGCCCCUCUCCAGGGAGCGGCUGAGGUGUGGAUCGCACUUCUGUGUGCGCCACCCCUGGACUCCCAGCCACGGCCACGGCCACGGCCACCUGAAGCCAGUGCUGCGGCCGUUCCCACUUCACGGGAACGGUCCAUAACGCACACGGGCCACGGCCACGGCCACGUGACAGGAAGGUGGCCGAGGAACUGCCCGAGGCCGGCCCCUGGCUCCGGGGCUGCACUGCUCCCAGCUCCCAGCCUGGAAAGUUCCAGGCUGGCUGGGGCCGGGGUGAAGCUGCAGGCGGGGUGCAGCGGGUGGUUUGCUGAUGCGAUGACGCUUGUCCCGCAGACGCCAAGGCCGACCUUCCCCGCCUUCCCUGCCUGGUGGCUGUGGUCCCGAGGCCCAGUGGUCCCCUGGGGGCAGGGGGGUGGGCCCGGGCCUGGCUAGGUGUGAGCCUGGCGAGCCGCCGGUCUCCUCGCCCUGCGGUGGGGCCUCAGGACACCCCCUCGGGGCCGUAUGGGUGUCCAGGGGCUGCAGAGCCCCCAGCAGCAUCCGUCCAGCCGGCGUUCGCCUGGGCUGCCGAGACCGCCUGGCCUCUGCCGGGGGCGGCGGCACAAACUCACCUGCGACAAAGACCGGGCAGCUUCGCCGUGUUCACUGCAUCAGCUCCGAUCCUCCCCGGGAGGGCGCCAUUCUUGGAAGUGGACAGAAGGAGGGGGAGGUUGAGGCCCGGGAGGCGAGUGAAUGUGGCCGCAGAAUCCCACGGGGCCCUCGAUCAGACUUGCUUUAUGAGGCCCAGAGGCCCGAGUGUCGGAGGUCACACGUCAAAGGGUCUCCCCACCUGUGACCCCACCUGGACACAGCCAGGCCGGGCAGGCAGUGGCCCCUCAGGAAGCCAGGAAUCGUGACUCCCCACAUGAUCUGUCUAAAAGCCGGAUGUGAGGUGCUGGUGAACGAAGCUGUGCAGGGGGCACUUUCUGGAGGAAACCACGUUCCAAGCUGCACGAGAGUUUCGGGCGGACCUCGCCCCUUGUCAGGGGCAGCUGAAGUGCAGCCAGGUGCAGGGGGCAGCUCUGGGCACUGGGUUGCCUUGGCCCCUGUCGCCUGCAGCCUCCAGCCUGGGCAGAAUCUUUCAGCCGCAGCCAGACCAUCCCAGGGGAUUCCAGCAAGGCCUCACGUCCCAGCGACAGUGACCCGUAUGGCCAGAGGGAAAGUGAGCUGAGCAGAGGCCUUCACUCCUGCGUUCCUGCUUCCAGGGAAGCCCUGAUUACAAAGAGAGCUGGAGGGCGGCUGCUCUGGGAAUUAAACCAAGGUGUUAGUUGUCCAGGACCUGGCUCAUUGAGAGUGAAGUGACCAAGCUUGGAGUGUUUCCCCUUGGUGUGAGGGCAGGUGCAGAGGCAGCUCUCUUGUUCAGCUGAGGAAUAGGAUGGUGACAACUUCUAUGUGGGUGCCGUGAGGACCAGUGUGACAUGGGAUGUGCUCUGGGCUGGCUCUUCAGGACACUCAGGUCCACGUUCUCCCUUACCUGGUGCUGAGGACCAGCUGGGCGUGUCUCACAGGUGCCCUUCCCUGGAGUGGGUGGGCUGGGUCCUGACAUAGCUGGGUCCUUUGACACAGACAGCACUUGUGAUUUAGAGAGGAGAGUCUGGUGAUGGAUAUGCUGGCUGAUCAAGCCAAAAACAAUGUAAAAUGUUUAUAACAACUCUUCUUCCUCAAUUCUCUCCCCAGCCAUCUCUCUUAAAAAAUUUUUUAUUAGACUAUUUUUUAGAGCAGUUUUAGGUUCAUAACAAAAUGGAGCAGAAGUAUAGAGAUUUCCCAUACACCCCUUGUCCCUACACACGCAAAUCUCCCCCACCAUCAACAUCCCCGCCAGAGCGGUGCGUUUGUCACAAAUGAUACACCUGCACCGAUGCAUCAUUGUCACCCAAAGUCCAUAGUUUAUAUUAGGGUCACUCUUGGUGUUGUACAUUUUGGGGUUUGGGCAAAUGUGUGAUGAUGUGUAUCAUACAGAGUAGUUUCACGGCCCUAAAAACCCUCUGUACUCUGCCUACUCAGCCUUCCCCCUCUCUUUGUAACAAAUACUUUAGUAGCUUCCAGACCUCACGUGCACAGCCUGGAUUUAUCAUAAUCUGUGGUUCACGGCACACUCUCUGCAUUGGUCUCCGCUGGAUGCUCUUUUCCUUUAAGAUUAUGGUAAAAAUAUAAUGAACACUCCGCACCACCGGCCAAUCCGAGAGCUGGAACAGUCAGUACCUCAACCGCUUCCUCCUCCAUCCGAGGUAAACAUGAUUCUGCACUUGGUGUUCAUUUUGUUUUUAUUUCUGGGACUUGAUUUUUCCUCUUCAACAUUACAUUCCUGAGCUUUGUUUAUAUUCUGUGAGCAGCUGUAGAUAGCGACUGUCACCAUGGUAGAAUUUUUCAUUGUGUGAUUACAUCAUACAUCAUCCAUUCUCUUCUCUUGUUGUCGGGCCUUCGGGCUGCUCGGGCGUUCGCUCUGACGAACAGGCCUCCUGUCCACACCCGCGGGGGACCCUGCUGGGAGGAGAGCUGAGAACGGAAUCUGGAUCAUGGGAACGCAACAUUUUAACUUGGCAAGCGCUGCCUCAGCAGCCUCCGGAAGCAGCGGACGAAGCCCGUUCGUGGUGUGAGGGUCCUGCGGGUCCGGAGCCGGCCGGGCGUGCGGGGACAGCCCGCCCCUGCUCCAGGGCGUCUGUGAGGAGCGGGGGCUGCGAUGCACCGAAGGCUUGGAUGCGCUCCGCUGGAGCAGCCGUCCUCACGUCUUUUGGCUGACGCUGGCUGGGCCUCAGCUGGGCCGUGGCCGGAACCCCUCCACGUGGCCUCUGCAUGUGGUCUCUCCUCCGGGUGGUUUGGGCUUCGUCGCAGCAUGGCGGCUGGGUUCCCCGAGGGAGUGUCCAGGCGGAAGUGCACACAGAGUCUUUCCGUGGUCCUCUCUCUAUUGAUCGAGGGAUCACAAAGGUCUGCUCACGUUCAAAGAGAGGGAUUAUCCACCUCGCACCUCAACAGGAGCCUCAAGUCCAUGUUGUGAAAACCUUGUGGGAAGGGGGUAAUUGACGCAGCCAUCUUUGUACAAUACGACCUGCCACAUCUGUGGAACCACCCCCCAGAUCGAGGUGGUUCCGGUGACCUGGUGGCCCCUUGGGCCCCUUCCAGUUCAUGCCAAACCCUGAAGGUAAUCACUGCCCUGAUCUCUAUGACACAGGCUAGUUCUGCCUCAUCACGAAUAUUACCCGAAUACCUAAAUGGAAGCCUGUGGUGUGUGCUUUGGGGUCUGGCCUCUUGUGUUCCAUAUCGUAUCCUGAGAGACUGACCCAUAUCGAACGGUCAGCAGCUUGCUGUUUUGCACCGCUGUGCAGUACUCUGUUGUAUGACAUGCAGUUUGUCCAUCCCACUCCGGACAGACAAUGGUAGGUUUCCGUUUAGAUCAUGAUGAACAUUCUUGUACAACUUUUUGGUGUGCGCAGCCUCUCGUCUCCGUUGGGUAUAUACCAGGAGGGGCACCCUGGGUCAUAGGAUGUUUGCAUGUUUAGCUUCAAUAGACCCCAGCAAACAGUUUUCCGAAGUGACUGUAGAUUUUACUCACCAGCAGGAGUGCCAUCUCUCCGCAGCCUGUAAUUUUUAGCCAUUCAGGUGGGGGGUGGGUGCCUGGUGACGUGUCACUCUCCCUGUCCCUGGUGACUGAUGGUGCUGAACCCCUUUUCACGUUUAUUGGCCAUUUGGGUAACUUUUCUAAAAGUGCUUUUUUCAAGUCUUUCACUCAUUUAUUUAAAACUGGGUUGUCAGACCUAAGUGUCCAUCAACAGAUGAAUGGAUAAAGAAGAUGUGGUCUAUAUCUACAAUGGAAUAUUACUCAGCCAUAAAAAAGAGUGAAAUGUUGCCAUCUGCAGCAACAUGGAGGGAUUUGGAGGGUAUUAUGCUCAGUGAAAUAAGUCAGACAGAGAAAGACAAAUACUGCGUUAUCACUUAUAUGUGGAAUCUAAAAAAUACAACAAACUAGCGAAUAUAACAAAACAGAAACAAACUAGUGGUUCCCAGUGCGGACAAGGAAACGGGG